ensembl:lncRNA
UUUUUUUUUUUUUCUUUUUUUUUUUUUUUUGUCUUUUCUAGGGCUGCACCCGCGGCAUAUGGAGAGUCCUAGGCUAGGGGUUGAAUCAGAGCUGUAGCCACCGGCCUAUGCCAGAGCCACAGGCAACACCGGAUCCUGAACCAACUGAUCGAGGCCAGGGAUUGAACCCACAACCUCAUGGUUCCUAGUUGGAUUCGUUACACUGCACCACAACGGGAACUCCCGAAAGACUCUUAUUUGAUAGGUAUUGUUGGCUCAUUAGCAUUGAACUCAUAGCCAAUAGCACCCUAACUCAAAUCUGAAAGAGUGCGGGGGCUGGGGGGGGGGAGUGUUGCCGGAGAGGACUCCUAGGACAGAAAACAUCUGUAUCAGCCCAAAGUCAGCCUGUUCUAGGACAACCGAGGUCCUAGUCUGCCAGGACUGAUGGGCUUCCACGUGUGUGUGUGUGUGUGGCAGGGGCAGGGCUCAGCCCUGAAACCAGUCUGUCUGGGAUGGUUGUUCACCCUCCCUAAUUCCCCAGGGCUUCUGCUCAUCCACAGGUUCUGCUCCUGCCCUUCCAGGUGACACAGAACAGUGGUGCUCCUCCCUGCAUCAGUGAAGCGUUUGAAGGUGCAUCUGGGCCCUCCCAUCUUCUCGGGCUUGACAUCCUCAGCCUUGUGGGCCUUCUUCACAUGGCGCAGAGUGGCAAAGGCUGCUGGCCGACUUAGAACAAGUCUCUUCCAGCCUACUGACCAGACUGCACUUCCCGGUCUCUUUUGCAGGGCCCUGCGUCAGCAGCUCACUCUCCGAUGCACGUGUUCCUCCAGCACAGCCUGGUUUACAGCGGGCCCCCAAGUUGGUCCAGGCGUGGUCUCUGUCCAGAGCUAAGGCCGAUGCGCUCCUUCUUUGAAUCAAGGGCACAGGGUAAGAUUACAUGAGCUUUUUUGGGGGGAACUCACCGCAUGACUGGCCUCCAUUAAACUUACUAUCAAACAGCCCCCAGGUCAUUCUCCCCGGGACCCUGGCAAAACCAUGCCUUUCUCUUGCGGUGCAGUUGGAGGCUUGGGGCCCAGAAAUUAGCUUUCUUGUUAAAUUCACCCAUCACUGCGACUUGGGGGAUUCUGGAUCCAGACUCUGUCACUGGUGCACGUCCUGCUUCCCCGCCCACCAAGGCCUCGGCUCCCUUAUUACAGCCCCAGUGACGGUGACACAGCAGCCAGGCUGGAACAGUAGGUUCUAAGUGCUUCACGGGUCUCAGCUCUUAGUACUUUCAACGAUUCUGUUAUUGUUAUGAAUCCCAUUAUGUAACGGAUCAACCGAGGCACAGAGGUGUGAAACACGCCCAGGACAAUCAGCCAGUAGGAAGUGGAGCUGGAGAGCAACCUGUGUUUGGUGCCCGCUCAUACCCUUAACCCUGGGCAUGUACGGAUCCAGCUGUCACAGACACAAGCUCAGAACAAGGCAGUGCCAAGGGCAGCUGGGCCCUCCCUGCAGCCCCCUUUCAGUGACUAUGCCCUUCUGCCUCUGGAGCACCUCUUAGGUGCCAUGUUCAACUAGCUGUUCUGCCUCCAGAUCGCAGUUGCCUCCAUCCUGGGUUUUCCCAUCUUCUCCACAGAGAUUCAAAGGGGAGGAGGCUCUGUGUGCCCAGGAAACAGGAUCAUGGAAUCAGAGAGUCCAGGGGCAUGGCAGUCCAGAUCCUUAAGGACUUUCUGCCAAAACUCGAGUCUAACACCUUGAAGACACAGGAGGAAAACAGAAAGAGCUGGCCUUCCUGGGACCCUGGGAGUUGAACAAGGCUGGGUCCAGAGCGACAAAGAUAGAACAGAAGUAGCUCUAAAAGCCUGGCCAUUCUCUGAACAUGCUAAACUGAAAACAAAUAAUAGGGGUGUGUGUUGAUAACUACCUAACUGCAUAGGAUGAGGACUCAGAAACGUAUACCCUCGAAUCUCUUACUAAAGAUUCUCCGCGCUGAGCACCUGCUCAGAAAGACUGCACACAGAAUGGUCAUUUUCUGGCUUGCUGCAGAUUGGCCAAGUGUCAUGCGAAGAAGUAGAAUCCACAAGCUUGACCCGCAUCGACAUUGUUUUCUCAUCACUCUGCAGCUUGAGUAUGAGGGAGAUGAAAGAGGAAACGGGGAACCUGCCUCCCUGCUGGGGGGGGGGGCAGCAGAGGCCACCAGUGGUGGGGGUGGGGGGCGGGGACAUGGUGAGUCCUGAGUCUGCACCACGCACCAGCUGUGCCGAUGCCGUGGGAGGCAAGGGCUGCCUUCUGCAAGCAGAGGCUGGGCGCAGAGGUGGAGUGGUUCAAGAGCUGGAAUGUUUGUGCUAAAACUCUUCUUGGAGCUUCCUGUCUCUUCCACUUGUCCUGACCUCUCCAGCCACCAGGGAGGCAGCGGCAGGCCCAGAACCCAGCAGGAGGGACCAGGACCCUCCCCCAGGGGGACGGUGACGGGCUGAGUUUCCAACAGGCCAAGGAUGGGUUUCAGUUACUGAUGGGUUGCAAAUGACAGUAAAUCUGGCUAAAGAGCCUGGAUGUUCAGCCAACUUCACUUCCAAUACUCUGCCCUGGAGGCUCAAGUUGUCGGCAGGGUUGGUUCCUUCUGAGGCUGUGAGGAAACCUGUUGCAGACCCUUCUCCUUGGCUUGCAGACAGCUGGUUUCUGUUCAUUCAGUGUUCUUUCUCUCUCUGCAUGUGGGGGUGUGUGUGUGUGUGUGUGUGUGUGUGUGUGUGUGUGUGUGUGUGUGUGUGUGUCUGUGUCCAGAUUUCCCCCUUUUCUAAGGACGCCAGUCAUACUGGCUUGGGGCCCACCCUACCGAACCCAGGUUAACGUAAGCUCCUCUUUAGAGCCUCUGUCUCCAAACACAGUCUGAGGUCCCAGGAGUUAGGACUUUGACAAGUGAACACCGGGGGGAGACAAUUCAACCCUUUGUGAGUCCCUUCCCCACCUCAACCUUCUCUUACCUUUUUUUUUUUCUUGCUUUGCUCUUCUUUAAAGCAUUUGUUGGAGUUCCCGUUGUGGCUCAGCAGGUUACGAACCUGACUGGUAUCCACGAGGAUGUGGGUUCGAUCCCAGGCCUCACUCAGUGGGUUAAGGAUCUGGUGUUGCCGUGAGCUGUGGUGUAGGUCACAGCUGCGGCUCAGAUCCCUCACUUUACUGUGGCUGUGGUGUAGGCUGGCGGCUACAGCUCCGAUUAGACCCCUAGCCUGGGAACUUCCAUAUGCUGCAGCUGCAGCCCUAAAAAGACUAAA